GAUGAACGCUGGCGGCGUGCCUAAUACAUGCAAGUCGAGCGAACAGACGAGGAGCUUGCUCCUCUGACGUUAGCGGCGGACGGGUGAGUAACACGUGGAUAACCUACCUAUAAGACUGGGAUAACUUCGGGAAACCGGAGCUAAUACCGGAUAAUAUAUUGAACCGCAUGGUUCAAUAGUGAAAGACGGUUUUGCUGUCUCUUAUAGAUGGAUCCGCGCCGCAUUAGCUAGUUGGUAAGGUAACGGCUUACCAAGGCAACGAUGCGUAGCCGACCUGAGAGGGUGAUCGGCCAAACUGGAACUGAGACACGUUCCAGACUCCUACGGGAGGCAGCAGGAGGGAAUCUUCCGCAAUGGGCGAAAGCCUGACGGAGCAACGCGGCGUGAGUGAUGAAGGUCUUCGGAUCGUAAAACGCUGUUAUUAGGGAAGAACAGAUGUGUAAGUAACUAUGCAGGUCUUGACGGUACCUAAUCAGAAAACCACGGCUAACUACGU
rnacentral:rRNA from 1 species